GUCGUUGUCGCCGGCCUCGGCGCCCACAAGGACGGGUGUGAUUCCCCUUCGCGCCUCGGUGGGUCUGUUUCGGUGACGACUGUGGUGGCUGACAAAACAUGCUUCGACAGGGAGCGAGCGAGGUCCAAUGACUACAACUCCCAGAAGGCCCCACUGAUGACGUUGUGGUGUUGUUUAGGGGCCUUUGAAAAGGUGGCAGACAUGAGGCUGUUUAACACGCUACGAGCCCAUGGUAUUACAGAAAGAGUCUAGCACAGAUAAAGCAGUGGCUGAUUGACAGGAGGCAGAACGUGUGAAUAAAUGGAGCGUUUUCUGUCUGGCUGCAGAUGUCCAAUGGCAUUCCACAGGGGUCUGUGAUGGGACCGAUUAUUCUCUGCUAUAUGGCAAUGACUUGGAUGAUGUAUUUGAUGGUUUUGCUGCAAAAUCUGCAGAGGAACAGAGAUGGAGGGAAAGGUAGUUCUGAGGACGUAGAGAGGCCACAGAAGGAGCUAGACAGAUGGAAACGGCAGAUGGUAUUCAGAGCAUUCAUUUCAUGAGGACUGAAAGGUAAAAGCAAGGACGAAAUGUUGGAACAUUAAAAAGCUCUGGUGAGGCCUCACUUGUAUUUUGAGCAGGUUUGAGCUCCUUGUCUUAGAAAGGAUGUGCUGAAUCUUGAGGGGGUUCAGAGGAGGGGCAUGAAAAUGGUUCCAGUAUUGAAUAGGUUGUCAUAUCACCAUUGAUGUCUCUGGGCCAGAAUUCAGAAAAAUAAGGGGUGAACUCGUUGAAGGAGGAGCCUUGAUAGAGUGGAUGUGGGCAGGGUUUUUCCUGUGAUUGGUGGGUCUAAGACCGGAUGAGACAUGAGGGCAUCCUGUUAGAACGGAAAUGAGGAGGAGUUUCUUUAGCCAGAGUGGAGAAUCUAUGGGAUUCUUUGCCACAGGCAGCGGUGGAGGCUGAGUCUCUCUGUACAUUUACUACAGAAGGUCAUAUAUUACUGAUUGUUCAGGGUGUUAAAGGAUACGGGGAGAAGACAGGAGAUUGGGUCUGUUGCGAAAUUGGAUCAACCAGGAUGAUAUGCUGAUAUAUUGAAACAGAGUGGAUGGGCCGAAUGUCCUAACCUGCUCCAGCACCUCAUGGUCUUAUGGACUUUCUGCCUUUUGAACACUUCUGUCUCUUUGGGAUGUGUAUAUCCUGCGCUUUCUGAAUUGCUUCCCGAAAUUCCACCCAUUCUUGCUUUGACGUUAUCGGUGCCAAAGGUCUUUUCCAAUCACUUUUGGCCAGCUCCUCUCUCACGCCUCUGCAAUUUCCUUCAUUUCACUGCAACACUGCAUCUACGUUGUGCUUCCCCUUCUCAAAUUGCAAAUUCAAUCCCGGUUCAUUGCAUCACGCCCUAUCCAGAAUAGCAGAUCCCUUAGUGCAGUGGUCCCCAGCCACCAGGCCGCAAUGUAUAUUCUACUGGGCCGCGAGGAACCGAAAUGAUUUGGCGAUAGUGGGUUUAACCACGAGCUGCUCUCUGAAGCCACCUCGCAGGCAUUCUAGAAAUCCUCCCUCGGGGCAUCCAGCACUAACCGGGUUUUCCCAAUCGAUUUGUGUACUGAAAUCCCACAUGACUAUUGUAACGUUGACCCGCUGACUUGCAUUUUCUAUCUCCCGUUGUAGUUUGUAGACUACGUCCUUACUACUGUUUGGGGGUCUGCACAUACCUUCCACCAGGGUUUCUUUGCACUUGCAGUUCCUCAGCUCUCCCCACAGCGACUCAGCACCUUCCGACCCUAUGCCAGCUCUUUCUGAUGGUUUGAUUUUGUUAUGUUUACCAACAGGGCCACGCUGUCAGUGAUGCCCACAACCUCAUGUAUGCCAGUCCGCAGCUCUUCCUCCACGUCAGUUUGCACAAUGCGCGCAUUCAAAUGUAAUACCUUCAGUCCUGUGUUCAGCCUUUUAGAUUCUGUGUGUCUUUUCCAUCGCAACUCAUCCUGUCGACUGCCAGGUUGCCCGAUCAGCAGCCCCUCAUUGCCGGCAGUCUCACAACAUACUGUCUCUGUCUACAAACCAACCACCUCAUUCUCGUCAGUAGCACAUCGGUUCCCAAACCCCUUACCUAACUCCCAAAAUAUCUUUUCAGGGCCUGCUGACAUUUUCUACCUGUCAUUGGUGCCAAUAUUUACCAACAAGUCUGGUUGCUCGCCCUCCCCCUUUAGAAUGCCAGGGACCUGAUCGGAGUCAUCCCUGUCCCUGGCACCUGGACACAUCUCACCAUCCGGGUGACUCUAUCGCCAGCACAGAACCGCUGGCCGUUGGUUGACAACAGAAGGAACUCUCACUCUGUUACGGCGGAGGGAGUAUCGGGUGAGAGUUAAUGUUCUGGAAAUGGAGGGUUUCCCUCAUGAAUCAGAGGGAAUGAAAGGUUGGAGAGGCUUCAGUUGUUUCCUCUGUAGCCAUGGGGGCUGAGGGGAGACCAGAGGCAGACUGAGGCUGAGUAGAGAUCUGAGAGAAGAGAACCGGCAUCGUUUGUUCACCAGGUGAACAUCUCAAUUACCAGAGGAUGUGAUUUCAAGAUGAGUGUGGGACAGUUCAAAGAUGAUGUUUACCUGUGUCCCGGUACUCCACUCUGCUCCACAGUCCUCUCUCUCUCCCUUUCUCCCUCUCUCUAUCCCCCUUCAUUUUCUUAUCUCCGUCUCUCUCUCUCUCUCUCUCCCUCUCUCUCUCUCUCUCUCUCUCUCUCUCUCUCUCUCUCUCUCUCUCUCUCUCUAUACAUAUACAAUUCCUCAAUUUCUCUAUCUCCUCUUUUCCUCAUCCGUACUCUUUUACACCCUCCCACUCUUUCCUCCAAACAUUCUUCCCUACACAGUCACUAACCUGCAUCUUUCUCUUAUUGUCUCUUACUCCGUUUUUGCCUAACCUUUCGCUUGCUGCUCUUUCUCCCUAAUUCCCCCUUUCCUGUAGCUUGCUGUCUCCGCCACCCACCCGUCCAGACCAGCACCCCUCCCUCACCCCGCACUGUGAUGACGGUUUUACACACUCAGUGGAUUACAGAUGUUGUAUAAUUUCUCGUCGGUUGGAAAGAUUCAAUGUUCUCUCAGAAGAUAAAGGCUUGUGGUUUCCGGGAGAGGCCUGUUUGUUUCCGUUUAGUGUGCUACAGAACAGGCGGUGGAGGAGUGUGGAGAAGGGAGGAGAGAGAUUGUAAGUGAGGACGUAAGAGAGGGGGAAGAAGAGGGGAAAGGAGAGGGGUAGAGAGAAGGGGAAGAAGAGGGGAAAGGAGAGGGGUAGAGAGAAGGGAAAGAGAGAGAGGGAGAGAGAGAGCGAGAGAGAGAGAGAGGACAGGCAGAGAGAAUGAGAGAGGGGGGAGAGAGAAGAGGAGAGGAGAGGUGAGGAGAGGACAGUUGCUUUCAAUGAAUCAAAGUACAGUGAUAACCUUUGAUUCGCAAGCCGCCCAUAAAGAUUAAUUCUUCACCUCGAGACUGGGAGUGCGGGGUCGCGAAAUGUGAGGGGCCAAUUAAUUACAUCCAAGAUGUACUGAACUUGUUCACAGCUCUCUGCAGUGUUUCCGGUGGUGGCCAGUGCUGUUGCCGUGACAACACGACUAGUUUCCGCAAAGGAUGUGUUCUAUAAAAAUAGAUGAUGGUCGCCCAGGAGGCGCCGAUUUUCUUCAGCCUCUCAAAGAAGCAGAGAUGCUGCUGAGCUUUCUUGGCGAUAGUGUCCUUGUGGCUGGACAAGGACAGGCCGUUAGUGGUGUUCACUCUCAGGAGAUUGGAGCUCUCAACCCCCUUAUCCUCUGCCGUUGAUGUAAACAGGAAUGUCGGCAUCGCCCCGGCUGACUUCCUGUUGUCAGUAACCAGCUCUAUUGUGUUGGUGAAAUGGAGGGGGUGGGGAGUGUUGAUACCAGGUCACAAAGCUCUCCAGCUCCGACCCGACACGCGGGUGGAGAAGGUUUACUGGAGUAAAUUCCAACCGUGUGAAAACAGCACUGGCUCUGUGAACACGGGUGGAACUGUCCAGACGGACUGAGGGAUCUAUUUCCGCGCUUUCCCCGAAACUCGUCCUUCUCUCUCACUUUUCUCCCUUUCACCUUCCUCUCUCUAGUCUCUCUCCGCUUCUCCUCUCUCAUCCCAAACUCUACUAUCCCUCCCCUCACUCUCCUC